GACAUUCCCAAAAUUAAGUUGUAUUCAGAGGAGGCACAGCAAUUAUGGGGAGACUUCACCACAACUAUAGAUUCCUAGCUAAUCGUGGUAAUCCUAGACCUUAUGAGAUGCAUUCCUGUUCUGGUCCACGUUAUUGUCCACGUUAUUGUCCUCCGAGGAGGCUAGAUUCGAACCAGGGCUGCGUUUUCUGACGCCGUUGGAGGGAUGGUAUGAGCGUGAACAGGCUAUGCUUGAAGAACUUAAGCAAGAGUUGGCGUCUGCUGCUACUAAGCCGUCUGCUAGCAUUCCUCCUAAGAAGAACUUCCAAGCAAGUUCAAAGAUGAUGCGACUCUUUGUGAUCAAUCGCAAAGCUUUUAAAAAGAAGAAGAUGCUCGUGAUCAAGCGCAAAGAAUGAGAUGAUCGUGGCAAUUCUCUUUCUCUUUGUUGAAUUCUGCAAUGCUCUAUUAUUAUAUGACUUUAUAUGUUAUGAGAUUUCUCCUUUGUCUGAAACUUGUCCUUGUCUUCAUGCAUAAUAAUAAUAAUAAUAACUUAGCUUGGUCAUUUCA